rnacentral:lncRNA from 1 species
CAAGGGUACUUUGCUGGAGAUCUUUGCUUACCUGAAGUCUUCUAAAGGUUGGAAUCACCUAAAUCAUUUAACACACUGCUUUAUUACCAAGAAGUUGAACCUGUAGAUAUUUCUUAGCAGAACUAUCAAAAACAGCGACUUCCUCCAACUUUGCUUGUAGAUCAGCAAAGUUAAAGCGCUGAGGAAUGCCUGGUUUUGGAGACUGAGCUACUUCACCCUCCAAGCACUUUGGCUUAAUAGCUGAGCAGCAUAAGAGCAGCUUAUAUAUACACUGGAUUAUACACACUCUUUGUCUAGCUAAGUCUUUUGCUUUUAAGUCUGUUAAUCCUGGUAUCUUUGGGUUGACUCACAAGUCAGAUAAUUAUCUUGGAUGUCUGUAGCAACUCCUUUCCUCGGUGCCUGGACCACCCGCCUCUUGGAGAUGACCCCGGCCUCAGCCUCUUCCCAUGGCAAUGUGACUCAGCGCUCUUUGGAACAGCUGUCACAGCUGUGUGUCACCGAGUAAGGAGGGAACAGCAAAAAGCCACAACACCUCCAGUGUAGAGCUCAUCUGCAAGACAGAGAAGGCAGACUUGCAUUCUCUGACACUGUAAAAGAACGUUAAACUCAGUUAUAUGAAUUCCAGGCAAAACGUAAAAGAACCUCUCUCCUCUCCUUAUGUCCUUUCCCAGAGGUUUUGUCAGCACUUUUCUGCCCCACAUGUUCUUGGAGGCUGUUUCUAACAGCUGUGUGCCCAGUGCCUGUCUGCCUGUGUUCAGCAACAAGAAUUUAGGCGUUUAGGGAUUUUUAAAAGUUAGAAACACACUCUCUUAAGAACUUAACCAAACUGAGGUAGAAGCCAUGGGGGAAAUUUUCAGGAUCUAUAUUUUAGUUUUAAUCGCCCAAAUCCCUUCAGGGAGCUUCACAUACCAAUUAGUGACCAUUUUAGUGGUAAUGAGGAAGGAAGAAUCAAGUACAAAAAAACAAAGUUUGCUGGAAAAUUGAUGUCUGGCACAGUUUGAAAAAAUGUGAUAAACAAGAUAACAAGCAACAGGAGCAGAAGUUCGUUUUUGACAGAUGCAGCCUUUAGAUUAGUAUGACAAUUAUUUUCAUUAUGAUGGAAGCAAAUGUAACUUUGCAUUUUGUAGCUGAUAGUGGACAAUCCACUGGUUGUGCAGAGAUGGGCAAAUACCAUAAAUUGCUAUGAAAUGUUAGAAAUUCUCUCUGGGCCAGUCCAGUCAGCAUGUAUCAAGGUAUUCAUUUGGAAAAAAACAACACAUUUUGGGCAGCAGUGACCUCUCUGAAGACCUCCUCUAAAAGCUGCCAGUGUUGAUUUGGAUUUCGUGGAAUAAUAGAAAAUGUUACGCUGUUUUUACAAGCCUUCCCAUUAUUUUGGUUGGUAUGGGAAUGAGUAUUAAGACAAGCUCUUCCAUAUACAUUCUUGGAACGAAUGAUCCCUAAUACUGACUUUCAACCUGGGAAAAUCUAUUAGCACUUUGCCUAGCACCUAGAGCUUUUCUAAUCUUAACUUUUUGACUGUAAAUUUUCUUUCAGCUUUUCAUGUCAUGGCUUUCUGUCA